UGGGGAAUAUUGGACAAUGGGCGAAAGCCUGAUCCAGCCAUGCCGCGUGUGUGAAGAAGGUCUUCGGAUUGUAAAGCACUUUAAGUUGGGAGGAAGGGCAUUAACCUAAUACGUUAGUGUUUUGACGUUACCGACAGAAUAAGCACCGGCUAACUCUGUGCCAGCAGCCGCGGUAAUACAGAGGGUGCAAGCGUUAAUCGGAAUUACUGGGCGUAAAGCGCGCGUAGGUGGUUUGUUAAGUUGGAUGUGAAAUCCCCGGGCUCAACCUGGGAAAUGCAUUCAAAACUGACUGACUAGAGUAUGGUAGAGGGUGGUGGAAUUUCCUGUGUAGCGGUGAAAUGCGUAGAUAUAGGAAGGAACACCAGUGGCGAAGGCGACCACCUGGACUAAUACGGACACUGAGGUGCGAAAGCGUGGGGAGCAAACA
rnacentral:rRNA from 1 species